rnacentral:rRNA from 1 species
CUGAUGUUAGCGGCGGACGGGUGAGUAACACGUGGGUAACCUACCUAUAAGACUGGGAUAACUCCGGGAAACCGGGGCUAAUACCGGAUAAUAUUUUGAACCGCAUGGUUCAAUAGUGAAAGACGGUUUCGGCUGUCACUUAUAGAUGGACCCGCGCCGUAUUAGCUAGUUGGUAAGGUAACGGCUUACCAAGGCGACGAUACGUAGCCGACCUGAGAGGGUGAUCGGCCACACUGGAACUGAGACACGGUCCAGACUCCUACGGGAGGCAGCAGGC